rnacentral:sRNA from 1 species
GGUAAGCCCGCGCUAAGGAUAGUAGCGGCAUCCUUUUAACAUUGGUGGCUGAGGUUCUCGAAGCCACCAAUGUUAAAAGAUACAGCGGAUAGCCUGACCCAAA